AAUUGCUGUAAUGGCAGGUCAGCAUACUGCCGUGAAUACGUUCCCGGGCCCUUGUACACACCGCCCGUCACACCAUGAGAGUUGGGAAUACCCGAAGCCUGUGAGCCAACAAACGAGGCAGCAGUCGAAGGUAGAAUCAAUGAUUGGGGUGAAGUCGUAACAAGGUACC
rnacentral:rRNA from 1 species